GACAGAGGGUGCAAACGUUGCUCGGAAUCACUGGGCGUAAAGGGCGUGUAGGCGGGUAGAUAAGUCGGGCGUGAAAUCCCUAGGCUCAACCUAGGAACUGCACUCGAAACUGUUUAUCUUGAGUGCCGGAGAGGAGAGCGGAAUUCCUGGUGUAGAGGUGAAAUUCGUAGAUAUCAGGAGGAACACCAGUGGCGAAGGCGGCUUUCUGGACGGUAACUGACGCUGAGACGCGAAAGCGUGGGGAGCAAACAGG
rnacentral:rRNA from 1 species